rnacentral:rRNA from 1 species
GUAGGUGGCAAGCGUUGUCCGGAAUUAUUGGGGCGUAAAGCGCGCGCAGGCGGUUCUUUAAGUCUGAUGUGAAAGCCCACGGGCUCAACCGUGGAGGGUCAUUGGAAACUGGAGAACUUGAGUACAGAAGAGGAAAGCGGAAUUCCACGUGUAGCGGUGAAAUGCGUAGAGAUGUGGAGGAACACCAGUGGCGAAGGCGGCUUUCUGGUCUGUAACUGACGCUGAGGCGCGAAAGCGUGGGGAGCAAACAGGAUUAGAUACCUUGGUAGUCCACGCCGUAAACGAUGAGUGCUAAGUGUUAGGGGGUUUCCGCCCCUUAGUGCUGCAGCUAACGCAUUAAGCACUCCGCCUGGGGAGUACGGCCGCAAAGGCUGA